UGUUACUCAGUAGUCGUAUUUCGUCUUCAGAAAAGACUGCAGGGGGCAGAGAGGAGACACAGACAGAUGAUUCAAGAAAGGAAUUCCAAAAAUAUAUGAAGAGAUAAAAAAGCAACUUCUACGAUUACUUAGAACAGAUGGGGAGAGACCUAUAAGGCGAAAAACUCCUCCAAGCUAAAGAAGAAACUCUGCAAAGACUGAAAAUGCAUAUUGAUUACAGCCAAACACUGAGGAUACACUGAUUUAAGAAGCCAGAUGUUAUGCAUUAACCAAAGGCUAUUAUAACUAAUUCUGGAUAAAUUUAACUGCACACGAGUGACUUAAACAUUGCACAGUUAUAAGGACUUUAAGGGAGUUAUAAAUUGAUGUAUUUGAGCACCGGGCAAGUGAAAGAUUUCUCCAUCCAUCUAAACAAACAGUACUCAUUGACUGAUCAGCCUGGAUUGUCUUAACCUUUAGUUCCAUGGUUCAUAUGUAAGGACCGUAAGCUCUGUACUGGUGGCACUGGAGCCUGCCAUUUAAAAAGGAGAAUCUCCUGCAUUCA